rnacentral:rRNA from 1 species
UACAGAGGUCUCAAGCGUUGUUCGGAUUCAUUGGGCGUAAAGGGUGCGUAGGUGGUGCGGUAAGUCAGGUGUGAAAUCCCGGGGCCCAACCCCGGAACUGCACUUGAUACUGUCGUGCUCGAGGACUGGAGAGGAGAUCGGAAUUCAUGGUGUAGCAGUGAAAUGCGUAGAUAUCAUGAGGAAGACCAGUGGCGAAGGCGGAUCUCUGGACAACUCCUGACACUGAGGCACGAAAGCUAGGGGAGCAAACGGG